rnacentral:rRNA from 1 species
UACGGGGGGGGCAAGCGUUGUUCGGAAUUACUGGGCGUAAAGGGUGCGUAGGCGGCUUUCUAAGUUGGAUGUGAAAACUAUGGGCUCAACCCAUAGCCUGCAUCCAAAACUGGAGAGCUUGGGUUCUGGAGGGGAAAGCGGAAUUCCUGGUGCAGCGGUGAAAUGCGUAGAUAUCAGGAGGAACACCGGUGGCGAAGGCGGCUUUCUGGACAGACACCGACGCUGAGGCACGAAAGCUAGGGGAGCAAACAGG